GAAGUCACUUUAAGUGCCCUCAAUGCACCUGAGAGUGAUGUUGAUAUUGAAGGUUUAGGAGAAAGCUCUGCUUCAAAAAAAUUAGAAUUUGAUUCAGAUAUGGAUUCCAACUUGUUAUGAAAAUCUUGAGAUGUAAGUGAAGGCGGUGUCCCCAUCUGCUGGCCAGAUCCCUUUAUAUAUAUAUAUGUAUAUAUAUAUAUAAAAAAAAUAGAGGCAUAGAGAUAGUGACAACUUACUUCACAUUGUACAGUUUUGUUUUUCUUAUUAGAAUCAAAAUUCAUAUCUAAAAGCCCAUUUAAAGAAAUGUAUUUGUCAAUGAAAAGGUAUCCUGAAAAUGGCAGAUUAUUUCAAUUUUAAUAAACUUUUUUUACAAUAAUGUCA